rnacentral:rRNA from 1 species
AGCGAACGCUGGCGGCAGGCUUAACACAUGCAAGUCGAGCGGGCAUAGCAAUAUGUCAGCGGCAGACGGGUGAGUAACGCGUGGGAACGUACCUUUUGGUUCGGAACAACACAGGGAAACUUGUGCUAAUACCGGAUAAGCCCUUACGGGGAAAGAUUUAUCGCCGAAAGAUCGGCCCGCGUCUGAUUAGCUAGUUGGUGAGGUAAUGGCUCACCAAGGCGACGAUCAGUAGCUGGUCUGAGAGGAUGAUCAGCCACAUUGGGACUGAGACACGGCUCAAACUCCUACGGGAGGCAGCAGUGGGGAAUAUUGGACAAUGGGCGCAAGCCUGAUCCAGCCAUGCCGCGUGAGUGAUGAAGGCCCUAGGGUUGUAAAGCUCUUUUGUGCGGGAAGAUAAUGACGGUACCGCAAGAAUAAGCCCCGGCUAACUUCGUGCCAGCAGCCGCGGUAAUACGAAGGGGGCUAGCGUUGCUCGGAAUCACUGGGCGUAAAGGGUGCGUAGGCGGGUCUUUAAGUCAGGGGUGAAAUCCUGGAGCUCAACUCCAGAACUGCCUUUGAUACUGAAGAUCUUGAGUUCGGGAGGGGUGAGCGGAACUGCGAGUGUAGAGGUGAAAUUCGUAGAUAUUCGCAAGAACACCAGUGGCGAAGGCGGCUCACUGGCCCGAUACUGACGCUGAGGCACGAAAGCGUGGGGAGCAAACAGGAUUAGGUACCCUGGUAGUCCACGCCGUAAACGAUGAAUGCCAGCCGUUAGUGGGUUUACUCACUAGUGGCGCAGCUAACGCUUUAAGCAUUCCGCCUGGGGAGUACGGUCGCAAGAUUAAAACUCAAAGGAAUUGACGG